rnacentral:rRNA from 1 species
AUUGAACGCUGGCGGCAGGCCUAACACAUGCAAGUCGAACGAGUGGCGGACGGGUGAGUAAUGUCUGGGAAACUGCCUGAUGGAGGGGGAUAACUACUGGAAACGGUAGCUAAUACCGCAUACCAUCGGAUGUGCCCAGAUGGGAUUAGCUAGUAGGUGGGGUAACGGCUCACCUAGGCGACGAUCCCUAGCUGGUCUGAGAGGAUGACCAGCCACACGGGAACUGAGACACGGGCCAGACUACGACGGGUGGAAGCAGUGGGGAAGAUGGCAAAAUGGGCGCAAGCCUGAUGCAGCGAGGCGGCGUGUAUGAAGAAGGCCUUCGGGUGGUAAAGUACUUUCUGCGGGGAGGCGUUACCCGCAGAAGAAGCACCGGCUAACUCCGUGCCAGCAGCCGCGGUAAUUC